rnacentral:sRNA from 1 species
GUUUAGCGCCGCUCGGGAAGGGUAAGAACCUUCAACAAGGUUCGAGUCCACGCAGUGGACAACGCGCUUUAGCGCGGCCCGCAGGGUGAGGAACGAAGUGACGAAUAAUCCUUCCCCCACCACCA